ensembl:lncRNA
CCAUCAGUCACAAAUCCUCCCUCAGUCAGCUUGUAAAUUAGGGGAGGGUAAGGUUGGGGGGAUAGAGGUUUAAGGGGUUGCUCCUUUCAGAAAGAGAAAUAAUCCUUACUAAGAAUCACUAACAGCUCGCUUAGUCUAGACGAGACCCCCCUCAUCAUGCACACACACAGGCUAAGAUUGAUGCCUGACAAACUAAGUGAUAUUAGAACAAUAACUUAUGACUCUGAAGUAAUGACUUGAAAAGGAUGUUUUUAUAUAUUAAAAGUCUGAACAUUUACAAACACAGACCAUACCACACACACACGCACACACACACGCACACACACACACACUUGAAGCUGGGAAACUGGCUCCCCAGAUAAUAUAUCCAUUAGGCUAGGCUGCAGGAAAGCUCACCAGCUCUCUAAUAUCUGCCAGGUCUGCCUUAUGCCAACUCUUAUUCCAAUAGAGCAUAAGUAAAAAUGUUGGGUCAUACCCUCUCCUACCCUCAAUCUCCUGUCGCUGCGUUUGAUACCUCGACUGGGUUAUCUGCUACUGCCUGGGUGUCAUGUCACCCCUAGAGGAGGUUCUCUGCUACUGCCUGGGUGUCAUGUCACCCCUAGAGGAGGUUCUCUGCUACUGCCUGGGUGUCAUGUCACCCCUAGAGGAGGUUCUCUGCUACUGCCUGGGUGUCAUGUCACCCCUAGAGGAGGUUCUCUGCUACUCCCUGGGUGUCAUGCCACCCCUUAGAGGUUCUCUGCUACUGCCUGGGUGUCAUGCCACCCCUAGAGGAGGUUCUCUGCUACUGCCUGGGUGUCAUUCUACCCUAGAGGAGGUUCUCUGCUUCUGCCUGAGUGUCAUGCCACCCUUAGAGGAGGUUCUCUGCUUCUGCCUGGGUGUCAUGCCACCCUAGAGGAGGUUCUCUGCUACUGCCUGGGUGUCAUGCUUUCCUAGAG